AUCUGAAUAGCUGAGUCGGUAGAGUAUGAGACUCUUAAUCUCAGGGUUGUGGGUUCAAGCCCCAUGUUGGGCA